rnacentral:rRNA from 1 species
AGUGAACGCUGGCGGUAGGCCUAACACAUGCAAGUCGAACGGCAGCACAGUAAGAGCUUGCUCUUACGGGUGGCGAGUGGCGGACGGGUGAGGAAUACAUCGGAAUCUACUUUUUCGUGGGGGAUAACGUAGGGAAACUUACGCUAAUACCGCAUACGACCUACGGGUGAAAGCAGGGGAUCUUCGGACCUUGCGCGAUUGAAUGAGCCGAUGUCGGAUUAGCUAGUUGGCGGGGUAAAGGCCCACCAAGGCGACGAUCCGUAGCUGGUCUGAGAGGAUGAUCAGCCACACUGGAACUGAGACACGGUCAAGACUCCUACGGGAGGCAGUAGUGGGGAAUAUUGGACAAUGGGCGCAAGCCUGAUCCAGCCAUACCGCGUGGGUGAAGAAGGCCUUCGGGUUGUAAAGCCCUUUUGUUGGGAAAGAAAAGCAGCAGGUUAAUACCCCGCUGUUCUGACGGUACCCAAAGAAUAAGCACCGGCUAACUUCGUG